GAGUAAAACUUAAUGCCUCAGUGGCUACGAUCAGGAAUUUUUUUUUUCUUGGACGAGUUUCGUCACUCAUGUUAUACGUGUUGCGGAUUGAUCACUUGUACUUCUUUUCCUGACCAGACCCCAGACCUCGAUCGGAUCAGAUCAAACUGUUUUUGAGAAAUAAUUUUGGGACUCAUAUCAUCUGCUUGACAGAGGAACGUUGGGACAAUUUCUGGAGCGUCUGCAGCAAUGGAACCAGAUAAUAUACCUCUUGUUAGCAACUUUGAAAAGCAGCAAAACAGAAGCAAGAUCAACGGUCGUCAUGGCAACGGUACAAACGGAUACGGAGCAGCGAACGGCAAAGGGGAUAAGUAUUACGAGUUCCCCCCUGUGCUCUUAUCAUGGGAAGAUGUGGUGGUGAAGGGAGCAGCGAAAGCAGAGAAACAGGGUUGGCUUGGGAAGCGGAAGAAGAAAGGUGACCCAGAAGUCGGAAAAACUGUAAUGGAGACAAAAGAAAUACUCAGAAGAGGUGGGCUUUUGUUGUUGUACAUAAUAAUUUUUCCAUUAAUACGUAGUUCUGCCAACAUUAUUUUCAUGCAGAAAUAGAUGAUUAUAAUGAUGAUGAUAAUACAUUUCGGGGAUAAGGGGGGGGGGGGGAUUUGUCCACCACUCAGGAUUGUUGCUCCCCUACUUGCCCCCAGAAAUUCUGAAAAACUGAGUAUAUUAUAGUAAAUGUUAUCAUAAGCAUCCGACCUACUCAAAAUGUAAAGUGCUCCAUAAGAGCAUUUUCACUCUUCAAAUUUUGAAAAUUUCUCAUACAUCCGGUCACUGUUAGCUCUCGAACAAUGUUAGUAACUAACGCAAAUCUUUCAAGUCAUUAUAUAUAAAAUUUAAUAUUUCGCUCGCGCUUCGCGCUUGCAGUGGCUGUUGAUUGAGAUAGAUAAAUGAUAUGUUCAAUAGGAUAACAUGUUCAAGUUAAUAUGGACAAAUUAUUCUUCUUGUGAUUCGAGUUUUUAUUAUUUGUUUUAGCGAAAUACACAUCCUGCGUGUUUGUGCCGCCACUGGGAAGGGGCAAUUAUCGAUUCAUUUUGCUUAUAACUUCUACAAAAGAAUGUUUGUACCAUAAAUUCCGAUCACUGACAAGUAAAAUAAAAAAUAAAUCAAUCAAUUGAAAAGAAAUAUGUAGAAGGGCAUAGCUACCUGUUACUAUUACCUAUUGUCAGUACUAUUGUACAAUUUUUUUAAUGAUUUCCCAGGUCGAAAUUCCUAUAGGCUGAGUUUUCUAUAGGACCCAUAGACACCUAUAAGCCUACGGGGUUCUAUAUGGAAAUGGUAUAUAGGAAACCCAUUGACUUCUAUGAUGUCUAUAGGAAAAAUGAUACAAAAGGACGUAAGGAAGUCUAUAUGGGACUGAUAGAAAAUCCCAUAGAUCUUUAUAGUUCCAAUAGGAAAUGCUAUGGGUGCCUAUAGGACCACUAUAAAUGCUAUGCCUAUGGCUAUGGGUGUCUAUUGGCCCAAUAGAAAAUGCUAUGGGUGUCUGUAGGACCAAUAGAAAAUGCUAUGGGUGUCUAUUGGCCCAAUAGAAAAUGCUAUGGGUGUCUGUAGGACCAAUAGAAAAUGCUAUGGGUGUCUAUUGGCCCAAUAGAAAAUGCUAUGGGUGUCUGUAGGACCAAUAGAAAAUGCUAUGGGUGUCUAUAGGACCAAUAGAAAAUGCUAUGGGUGUCUGUAGGACCAAUAGAAAAUGCUAUGGGUGUCUGUAGGACCAAUAGAAAAUGCUAUGGGUGUCUAUAGGACCAAUAGAAAAUGCUAUGGGUGUCUGUAGGACCAAUAGAAAAUGCUAUGGGUGUCUAUUGGCCCAAUAGAAAAUGCUAUGGGUGUCUAUAGGACCAAUAGAAAAUGCUAUGGGUGUCUAUAGGACCAAUAGGAAAUGAUAUGGGCGUCUAUAGGACCAAUUGAAAAUGCUAUGGGUGUCUACAGGAUGAAUAGAAAAUGCUAUGGGUGUCUAUAGGACCAAUAGAAAAUGCUAUGGGUGUCUGUAGGACCAAUAGAAAAUGCUAUGGGUGUCUAUAGGACCAAUACGAAAUGAUGUGUGUGUCAUUAUAGGACCAAGGGAAAUCAUAUUGGUAUCUAUAUGGGACAAAUAUCUGGGGAGGGAACGGGCUCUAUGGGGUAGAUGCAUGUAGUUCAUAUCGUAACUGACUUCAUGAAGCGUCUGAAGAGGCGGAAAUCAAUGAAAACUGAAUAAAAAAUGUUUAGAUAUCUAGAAUUUCUCAUAAUUCAACUCUAUCACUGUGUUUCCUAGAUUCAGUACUAUAAUGGUAUGUUGGUUCAGUCACAUACUUUUAAAUAGCCUUAAUGCAUUUUUAUCAGAAAUAUAUGUGAACGUUCAUGAAAGUGAUAACGAUAUGCCUGCAGCUAAUGGUACUGAUCAGCAUUAAGAAUAUCCUUGUUGCAAACACCUUUUCUGGAAAAGAUAGUCAAUGGUAAUUUGGAAAUAUUCAAAUGAAAUAAUUCAAUGUCUGAAAGUCUCUAGAGCUCAUUUCAUGGGUGAUUUUAUUCACUGAAUCACAAAUCAGCAAUGCAAUGCUAACAAAGAUUUCCAAUUUGUAAAAUAUAUCAUGUUUUCCCAGGUUGCCUUCAUAAAGUGAAAAUCACAUGAAGCUGCAAGCACAAAAAGUUAGCAAUAUAAUUCAAACAUUUUAAAUAUAGUAGGAAAGUCUUUACCACUUGGAAGUUUAGCAAAUGAUAAGAAGUUUGACAAAUUAAUAAAUCCUUACAUACAGUGUAAGUAUUAACGUUCCAUUUUUAAGUUUAUGUCCAUGUUGAUUAAUGUAGGCAUUAUGCAUUAAGUAAGUUAAAAAAAAAUAAAAUAUAAAGCGACGUUUCAAUAUUACGAAUUCAAAUAGGUCAGUAAUUAUUGCAUAUAUCAUUUGAAUGUGGUGCAUUUCAAUGCAGCGUAUUUUUAUCUUCUUUAUAUAGCAUAAUGUAGGUUAUAUCAAACAAGGUUUUUUGAUUGGUCAGAUUUGCUCUUGCGAUUCUUUACACCAUUUCCAGGGUAUGAAGUUUUAUCGCACACGACAUAGUACAAUAUAUGCUAGGUAUAGAAAAGAUAAAAAUUAAGUAUUGGCAUACAGUACACUUCAAUUGGCAGUAACAGUAAGCUUUGAUCACAAGAACAGUGCCAAACAUAGUACUUAUGAUAAUUUCAGAACAUCAGCAUCCAUACAAUACAUAAAGAAUUUUUGUGCACUAUACCAAGCAUCAGCAUACAUGCACAUUAUUGGUGAAAUUGAUAUAGAACAUUUGAGAAUUUGUCAAGCUAUACAACCACAUUGAAAUGAAUAUACUAACUUCAAUAUGGUUGUAUAGCUUUACAAAUUUUCAAGUGUUUUAUAUGAAUUUCACCAAUAAUGUAGGCUGAUGCUUGGUAUAUAGUGCACAUGAAUUCCAUUUCAUGAAAUACAUUAUAAUAUACAAAAAUAUUUUUAAAAAAUCACCUUUUCAUCCCUACUCCUAAUACAAUGUAUAUGAUGUGCUCUUCAUCAUGAUGAAUGCACAAAAAAUGUAGUUCAACAAAAAUAUUUUUACUUUUAGCACACAUAAAACUUUGGUAUAUGAGCUGAAAGAAA